rnacentral:rRNA from 1 species
UACGGUAGGGCGCAAGCGUUAUCCGGAAUUGAUUGGGCGUAAAGAGCUCGUAGGCGGUUUGUCGCGUCUGCCGUGAAAGUCCGGGGCUCAACUCCGGAUCUGCGGUGGGUACGGGCAGACUAGAGUGAUGUAGGGGAGACUGGAAUUCCUGGUGUAGCGGUGAAAUGCGCAGAUAUCAGGAGGAACACCGAUGGCGAAGGCAGGUCUCUGGGCAUUAACUGACGCUGAGGAGCGAAAGCAUGGGGAGCGAACAGG